CCUGGGUAAAUAACCAGGAGGACUCCCGAGAGCUGGCUCCAUCAGGCAUACAAUCAAAGAAAAAAAGGCUUUUGAAAACGGUGUGCCAUCUAAAGAACUCUGCAGAGUCCCUUGAUAACAACACGAAAAAAGCCCCAAGAACACCGAAGAAGAAGCAGAAGAAGCAGC